UACGUAGGUGGCAAGCGUUAUCCGGAAUUAUUGGGCGUAAAGCGCGCGCAGGCGGUUUCUUAAGUCUGAUGUGAAAGCCCACGGCUCAACCGUGGAGGGUCAUUGGAAACUGGGGAACUUGAGUGCAGAAGAGAAAAGCGGAAUUCCACGUGUAGCGGUGAAAUGCGUAGAGAUGUGGAGGAACACCAGUGGCGAAGGCGGCUUUUUGGUCUGUAACUGACGCUGAGACACGAAAGCGUGGGUAGCAAACAGG
rnacentral:rRNA from 1 species